GACGAACGCUGGCGGCGUGCUUAACACAUGCAAGUCGAACGGAAAGGCCCUUCGGGGUACUCGAGUGGCGAACGGGUGAGUAACACGUGGGUGAUCUGCCCUGCACUUUGGGAUAAGCCUGGGAAACUGGGUCUAAUACCGGAUAGGACCACGCGCUUCAUGGUGUGGGGUGGAAAGCUUUUGCGGUGUGGGAUGGGCCCGCGGCCUAUCAGCUUGUUGGUGGGGUAAUGGCCUACCAAGGCGACGACGGGUAGCCGGCCUGAGAGGGUGACCGGCCACACUGGGACUGAGAUACGGCCCAGACUCCUACGGGAGGCAGCAGUGGGGAAUAUUGCACAAUGGGCGCAAGCCUGAUGCAGCGACGCCGCGUGAGGGAUGACGGCCUUCGGGUUGUAAACCUCUUUCGCCAGGGACGAAGCGCAAGUGACGGUACCUGGAGAAGAAGGACCGGCCAACUACGUGCCAGCCGCCGCAGUAACAC
rnacentral:rRNA from 1 species